rnacentral:rRNA from 1 species
UACGGAGGGUGCAAGCGUUAUCCGGAUUUAUUGGGUUUAAAGGGUGCGUAGGCGGAAUAAUAAGUCAGUGGUGAAAUCCUGCGGCUCAACCGUAGAACUGCCAUUGAUACUGUUAUUCUUGAAUUUAGUUGAGGUAGGCGGAAUGUGUAAUGUAGCGGUGAAAUGCUUAGAUAUUACACAGAACACCGAUUGCGAAGGCAGCUUGCUAAACUAUUAUUGACGCUGAGGCACGAAAGCGUGGGGAGCGAACAGGAUUAGAUACCCGCGUA